GACGAACGCUGGCGGCGUGCUUAACACAUGCAAGUCGAACGGAAAGGCCCUGCUUUUGUCGGGUGCUCGAGUGGCGAACGGGUGAGUAACACGUGAGUAACCUGCCCUUGACUUUGGGAUAACUUCAGGAAACUGGGGCUAAUACCGGAUAGGAGCUCCUGCUGCAUGGUGGGGGUUGGAAAGUUUCGGCGGUUGGGGAUGGACUCGCGGCUUAUCAGCUUGUUGGUGGGGUAGUGGCUUACCAAGGCUUUGACGGGUAGCCGGCCUGAGAGGGUGACCGGGCACCUUGGGACUGAGAUACGGCCCAGACUGCUACGGGAGGCAGCAGUGGGGAAUAUUGCACAAUGGGCGGAAGCCUGAUGCAGCAACGCCGCGUGCGGGAUGACGGCCUUCUGGUUGUAAACCGCUUUCGCCUGUGACGAAGCGUGAGUGACGGUAAUGGGUAAAGAAGCACCGGCUAACUACGUG
rnacentral:rRNA from 1 species